CCCAUCUAACCCUAAUCCCCUUUCUCUCCUCCGUUCCCUCCGCCGCCACAGCUGCCCGCGCCCGAUUUCGGCGAUUGCAGCGGCUAUUGCUGGCGCGGAGCACCCCACUGAGCUCGCUUCGCUCGGGUCCAUCCUCCCCUCCGCAAGAUUUCCCCCUCCCGGCUUCUACCGCUCGCCAAAAAUCCAGUCCCGUGCUAGGGUUUUCUACUCCAGCACACCCUUCAUCGUCGGCGCAUCUCCGGCGGCCUCUGGCAGCUCUUAUUCGUCGUCUACGGCGCCCGCAGUUGUCAGUCCACCUCGAGCAGGUCGGCGUGGAGGAUCUCCUCCCGCAGGUUCCAUGGACAUGGCGCACCCUGCAGUUGCUGGUCUGGGACGAGGGCGGGCAUGGCGAGCCUUGUCUUGCUCAACGAUGAUGCCGGCGAACGCCGGUGCUCCUCCUGGUCGACCUCUAAGGAGGAGCGCCAGUACAGCAUCAGCACGCCCUGCGGCUGAACCCCCCUUCUCCACCCAUCCAGUGGCGUACAGGAUGUCAGCAAGUCCAACACCCCCUUAGCCCUACGGCCCUGCCUCCUGUCCUCUAGCUCCAACAGUUUUUAUUUACCGUUAAGGUACAUGAAUCACUCGUGGAAAUAUUCUGAUAUUUAUGUACUGACUUGGUUCUUGGGCAGGAGGAGUUAGUGCAGAAUCAAUAUCAGAACCAUCAAAAGUUCAGGAUUGGACGUGGUGUUAUUUUGUUCCAGUUUCUAGACAGAGCCAUAUAUAUAUUGGUUUAUGGGAGCAGUUUCAACCACAACGACAUGCAUUUUGAUGACUUCGGUGUGCAGCCAGAAACAUGGGAUCACCCAUAGUUGCUGUUUGAUGAGAGUUGGCCUUGCUGAUUUGGGUGGUACUGCCUGGAGAGUAGCAUAGUGUUCUUUGAGACAUGCUUGUAAAAUUAGUGUUUUCUGGGUCUUCCUUUUGCUCCUGUACUAAUAUAUUUUUGGUGUAUAUUUGUAAUUUUCUUUUUUUAGUGAAAUGAGCAUAUAUUUUUCGGCAAACUCUUAAUAGCCUGAAAUUUCCAUGGACCAAGAGAAAUGACUGAUGGGCUGAUGUCUUUGGAUUGAAAUUCGUGGGCCUUACCUGAAAUUAUUAUGGGCUGUCCCUUUUGGACACCAAGCUGAAAUAUAGUGGGCCAAAAUUUAGA